AUGGCUCAGGACGAACGCUGGCGGCGUGCUUAACACAUGCAAGUCGAACGAUGAAGCCUUUCGGGGUGGAUUAGUGGCGAACGGGUGAGUAACACGUGGGCAAUCUGCCCUUCACUCUGGGACAAGCCCUGGAAACGGGGUCUAAUACCGGAUAACACUCUGUCCCGCAUGGGACGGGGUUAAAAGCUCCGGCGGUGAAGGAUGAGCCCGCGGCCUAUCAGCUUGUUGGUGGGGUAAUGGCCUACCAAGGCGACGACGGGUAGCCGGCCUGAGAGGGCGACCGGCCACACUGGGACUGAGACACGGCCCAGACUCCUACGGGAGGCAGCAGUGGGGAAUAUUGCACAAUGGGCGAAAGCCUGAUGCAGCGACGCCGCGUGAGGGAUGACGGCCUUCGGGUUGUAAACCUCUUUCAGCAGGGAAGAAGCGAGAGUGACGGUACCUGCAGAAGAAGCGCCGGCUAACUACGUGCCAGCAGCCGCGGUAAUACGUAGGGCGCAAGCGUUGUCCGGAAUUAUUGGGCGUAAAGAGCUCGUAGGCGGCUUGUCACGUCGGAUGUGAAAGCCCGGGGCUUAACCCCGGGUCUGCAUUCGAUACGGGCUAGCUAGAGUGUGGUAGGGGAGAUCGGAAUUCCUGGUGUAGCGGUGAAAUGCGCAGAUAUCAGGAGGAACACCGGUGGCGAAGGCGGAUCUCUGGGCCAUUACUGACGCUGAGGAGCGA
rnacentral:rRNA from 1 species